rnacentral:rRNA from 1 species
CGUCCUACGGGAGGCAGCAGUGGGGAAUAUUGGGCAAUGGGCGCAAGCCUGACCCAGCAACGCCGCGUGAAGGAAGAAGGCUUUCGGGUUGUAAACUUCUUUUAUCAGGGACGAAGCAAGUGACGGUACCUGAUGAAUAAGCCACGGCUAACUACGUGCCAGCAGCCGCGGUAAUACGUAGGUGGCAAGCGUUAUCCGGAUUUACUGGGUGUAAAGGGCGUGUAGGCGGGAGUGCAAGUCAGAUGUGAAAACUAUGGGCUCAACCCAUAGCCUGCAUUUGAAACUGUACUUCUU